UACGUAGGGAGCAAGCGUUGUCCGGAAUCAUUGGGCGUAAAGCGCGCGUAGGCGGCCCUGUAAGUCCGCUGUGAAAGUCAAAGGCUCAACCUUUGAAAGCCGGUGGAUACUGCAGGGCUAGAGUCCGGAAGAGGCGAGUGGAAUUCCUGGUGUAGCGGUGAAAUGCGCAGAUAUCAGGAAGAACACCAAUGGCGAAGGCAGCUCUCUGGGACGGUACUGACGCUGAGACGCGAAAGCCAGGGGAGCAAACGGG
rnacentral:rRNA from 1 species